GCGCUCCCGUCACAACCCAACCCUGCCCCAUCAGAUGGGAGGCCAGACCUCCAGGGAGGGAACAGAGGCCAGCCGGCUGGGGUGGGGGCAGGAGAGCGGCCUCAGGGUCCUCCUGCCCCUCGCCCCAGGCCCGGGGCAGCUGGACGGUGGAGGGAAGUCCUUGGGGCUGGCAGACCUCGUACUCACCCAGCUUCUGGGAGAAGAUCUUCUCAAAGGUCACCUCGCCCCGGUCUUCCAGGUACUUCUGCAUGACGCUUCGGAUGCUGAAAGACAGCGGGGGGGGGGGGAGGGGUGUGUGUGCCCUCAGUGAGCCGGAGCCCCCGGGGCUCCUGCCAGGCCUGCUGGCUCUGCCUCUUCCCCCCGGGAUCCAGAAUGUCACUGUUCCCUCCAAGAAGGCAAACUACCAGCCCGGGCCUGCCCACCUGGGCUCUGUCCCCAAAAGCUAGGGUGGCCAGCAGGUGGCUGCUCAGAAGUCCAGUCCCAGUAGUGCCUCAUGCUGGCUUCGGGAACCUGGCCAAACCUCAAAAGCCGGGCCUCACCAUCAGCAGAUGAUGGGUAACCAAAAUGGGGCCUAUCCUUACCACGGAAUACUGCUCGGCCAUAAGGUGGGACAAAGCACUGAUAUACAGAAAUGCUACGACAUGGAUGAACCCUAGCACGCAGCGAAACGAAAAAAGAGAGUCACAAAAGGCCCCCAGUUCUACGACGCCACUUACGUCGCAUGUCCAGAACAGGCAAAUCUACAGAGACAGCAGAUUAGUGGGUGCCAGGGGCUGGGGCACAGAAGAGGAGUGACUGCCAACAGGUAGGGGGUUUCUUCUUGGGGGUGAUGGAAAUGUUCUGGAAUUAGGGUGAGAGCUGCCCAAUUAGGUAGGUUGAGAGUUGUACUAAAACCCACUGGGCCGCACUCUUUAAAAUGAUGAAUUUUAUGUUAUGUGAAUUAUAUCUCAGGUUUUUUACACAGUAAUAGCAAGACGAAACAAAAACCAAGCCCCAGCUCCUCUGUUCCUAACAUCUGAAUUAGAAACAUGCCCCUCUGUCCCUGGGUUGCUUGGGAGGGCAGCAAGGGAGAGGCUGGCCGUUGUGACCAUGGAAAGCCCAACCCAACGGUCCCCACCCAGAAAGCUCACCUUCAACACCAAGGGCUGUCUGGGCAAGCGACACGGGGCUAUCCUUUGUGCCCGAGACAGACCUUGCCGUCCCCUCCUCCCCGCUCCUGGGUCACCUGUACACCAGCCCUGCCAGCCUGCCUGUCACGCCUCCACUGGCUCAGGCUCCUGAGGAACACUCUUAGCUGCCUGUACCGGGGACCAAGCUGCGCAGUCACACCUGAGCCCAGGCAAUGCUCACAAGGCCCUUAGGAUAUGUGGGGCCACCGGCAGGCCACAGACAAAAGACGUCGCAGCUGGUGAGGACCAGAAUCAGAAAGUCUGGGCUCUGUGGCCCUGCAUCCCUCUUGGAGCCCAGCGCGGGUCACCAGGGUCUGCUGCCGUUUUCUACUGGAAGAAGGCUGGAAGAUGCCGUGACCUCCUCCAACAGCAAGAAGGGUGCUGAUGACCAGGACAGCCCUCCCGUGUCCCUAUCCUGCGACUCCAACCAACGAGAGCGGAGCUCCCAGCUGAGGGCCAGUGGCUUGGUGGCCCCACGCCGAAGUGGUGGCCACUUCAGAGCUGGUUCCCUCAGGAAAGCAAGGAUGCCCUCUGCAGUGGACAGGGGCUCUGAGGCCAGGAUGUGGUCCUCACCCAGGCCGCCACCGUCUCCCCUCCCGACUGUCACACGCCAGCUCACUUCCACCAGCCACCACCAAGAACACAUCUCCCCAGCCCCAGGGGACCCACAGAGACUCACAGGCACUCGGGAGGCGAGGCCUGAUUCCAAGGCCCGCUCUGUGCUCACACACGGCAGAAACUAGAGACACCUGCCCUGGGGCCUGCAGCCCAGAGACCAGAGCCCCUCAUUUCCUGUGAGGGAGAGCUUAGGACCUCCUUUUUGGAGGACAGGAGGGCAGGCCAGGGGCGUGCUGGGGUGCAGCAGAGCAGCCAGGGCCCAGUGCAAGGCAGCGAAGGGCCGGCAGGGUCUUGAGACCAGGCAGCCAGGAGUUAGGGGCUCGGAACCUGGGGCUCCGUAAGGGCCAAGUGCCUGGAUUUCACCUGUAAGGUGGAACAGGAAGGCUGGAUCCUCACCACCCCUUGGCUCAGCUCUUGGCACGCCAUGUCUGCACCCAAAUCCUGUGUUUGGGGACAUUUUGGUCUAUGGAAGGGGAUGGACAAGGUAAUAAAGUGGGGGGCGGGGGAAUCACAAAAUGUCAAUCCCCCACGGAGGUGAGUGGUCAGAUGGAGGUCAGUUGCAGUCAAGAGGGAUGAUGUCCAGAUGCUUCAGAUCCAGAUGGGAAGCCCCCCUGAGCCCCAAACUGGCUUCCUGGGAACCAGCGUGGCUGACAGCAGCUUAGGGAAGGCAGCGUGAUGGGAACACCCCCCGCUUCCCAUCACAGGACCCGGUGACCCCCAGAACGGCUGGGAACCGGACCCUCCAGGGAAAUGCCCUCUCCCCGAGGGCCCGUGGACGAGGGAGCCAGCCUGCAGCCCAGCCUUCUCCCUUCCCGGCGGCUCUGCUGUGGGGUCAGCCCAGGAGAGAGCAGAAAGUGGGGCACCGGUGGCCAGACCCCGCCUCCCCCCUCUGGAGCUGCAUGGGACGCCUCUCUUCCCAGCCCACAGCACUUCACUUUCUUCCUUAAAAAGAAAAAAAAAAGUUUUCUAAAUAAAAUAAACAACCCCCCCCCCAUCCAAACACAAGAUUGGACUGAGCAAAGCCUUGAAUGGAAGGCCCCCAAAGCGACAGCAGUAGGGUUUCCUGUCUGUUCUCAUGGGGCUGGUGGCCAAGGGAGCCUGUAGUUUAGAAAAACGUGUUAUGGGGCACAUUCCUGCCGGGUGGCAAAUACAGGCUGGCACGGGCAGCAGUGGUGGCCUCGUGGGCUGGGUCACCUUCAUCUGCAACACCCGCUCCCUGAUACUGACAGAGUCUAGGGUGGCGACGAGCCCAGAGCAGCAUUUCUGCCCCCACCCAGGCCAACAAGUCCGAUAUACAGGAGCACGUGGCUCCCCGAUCAACUCUGGGUUGUCAGGAGAGCCAGACGCCUGCAUCCUCCCCGCCAGAAGGACCCUCAGGCGCUCGGUCUCUCUGGGGAAGGGCCCCUGGCUGCCUUGGCUCUUGCGGUCAGGGGGACACCCACGCCUGAGUUCCAAACGGCUCUCCCCAAGUCCCCUCCGUGGAGGAGGCCAGGCCAAGUCACAGACUUUAACUGUCCAGUUGGCCCACUUGUGAAAUGAGGACGUCAACAAAUUUCUGAACUGUCGCCACCGCGCUGGCCAGGUGAAAAGCCUGAGAGGGGGCGCCUGGGUGGCUCAGUCGGUUAAGCAACCGACUCUUGGUUUGGUUUCAGGUCAUGAUCUCACGGUUCGUGAGAUCGAGGCCCGAGUCCAGCUCUGCACUGUCAGUGCAGAGCCUGCUUGCGAUUCUCUCUUCCUCUCUCUCUCUGCCCCUCCCGACCUCAUGCGUGUGAGUGUGUGUGUGUGUGUGUGUGUGCGCACGCACGCUCUCUCUCUCUCUCUCUCAAAAUGAAUAAACUUUUAAAAAUUUCUCAAAAAAAUAAAAUAAAUACCUAAAAUAAAAAAAUAGAGAGCCUGAGAGGACACAGCAGAAUUGUCCUAAGACGCCAGCCUUGCUGUGAGAGCUCCCCUCCUGGAGGCAGCCCUCCUGCUGGGAUCCCCCAGACCGCACCUCUUCUAGAACAUGAUCAUAAGCUGUUUGGUCUCGUUUGGGUCUUUGGCCCACACCCUCCCACAUCCUCAGAGGGUGCCGCCUGCUGCCAGGCCUCCUGACUGGCGAGCUCUGACCAGGGCUGGGGCCAGGUGAGUGGCUCACAGACCAGCCUCACACACUCAUGCUCAUCAGCCUGAGGACCCGGGGGUGGGCGGGGGCAGAACCUGAUACCAGCCCCUGACGAAGCAGCAAGGGCCCCGUGGCAGGAGGGCCUGCCCUGUCUGGCAGGGAGCUGCCGGACCCUGCUGCCUACGGCCAGCGCUGUUCGCUUUGGCCCCAGCUGCUCCCAGGAGCAGGCCAAGCCUGACACUGAGGGGGAGAGCACAUCCUCCCCUGCAGCCCGGAGUGUGGGUAGGGGUGACAGGACGGCAGGCAGGCAGGAAGGGGGUGAGGGCUGUGGGGGAGAACUUCCGGUGCCUUCUGGAACCAUAUGGUUCAGAAGAAAGGCAAGGUCCCUCGCUCUGUGGCACAGAGGCUGAUCCUGGCCCUCACAGACGACUCCCACACAGGGUCACAGAUGGCAGCUUGUGUGGACUAGGAGCCACAGCAAGGGCUGGGGGCAAACACGCUUGUUUUGUUUUGAUGGUGAGGAGAUCUAGGCUAGAAGCUGAGUGGCCUGCCCAGCAUCCCACAUGGAGACAGCAGCCAGAAAAU